ACCACUAAAAUAUUUUAAUAUUUAAUUGUUCAAAAAUAUAUAUAUUUAUAUAUUCGAGAGUAGACAAUGCAUAGAUGAUACUAAAUUGAUCGCAAGAAUUCUUUUUGGAAAACACAAUAUAACUAGUCUUAUCUAUAUAUAUAUAAAAAUGUUUGCCUCUCUCCUGUGCUGCCACGUCACUAAGUCAUGCAUUCUGGAAGCGACACCUGUCCACUUUAACAAAACUCACCGUUUCAUUUAUUUAGCUUUAUAAUCUGUUCGGACUUUUUGUUUUAUAAAGCCCAUUCGUCGUUUCUAGCACAAAGGACAAAACUUUCAACUACCAAUACGCAAAGUAUUAAUCUUUUCAGGACCAACAGCAUCGAAAACGUAAACCUGACCACAGAACGAGAUCGUUAGCUCAUUAGCUCCUUCCAUCGGCCGGGAACCUAGCAAUUCAGAGCCCUCGAAUCGGUGAGGAACCAAGUGAGAGCCAUCGGGGAUCAAAUCGAAGGCGGCGUAGAUGGAAUCGGGAUGAGGGAUAUCGUCCAUAUCGUCGUAAGGAAUGUGACCGGCGGAGGUUGCGGAGGUAGAGACAUGGUCUUCGUCAACGGUGGCGGAGCUGCUACCGAUCUGAUUAGGGUUAAUCUCGGGUUGGGUAUGGUGACCAAACAUCGCGAGCUGCCUAAAAGAGAAGAGCUUUUCACAUUGAUUGGAAGCGAGAGAUGAAAGUGGAGAAUCAAACCAUAACCCUAAUUGCAAAAGAGAGAGAGAGAGAGAGAGAGAGAGAAAAUUGGAGAAAAGAGUAGUACAAAGAGAGAUGGUGAUCGGCGCGUGUGGAGGAGAGGGAUUGGCCGUCGUGGAUCGGUGACUUUAGAGGUAAAUAAAUCGCAGCAACUUCUGAGAUCACCCUACGACUUCACUCCACUGGACUUUUCAUAUGUUGGCUAUUGGGCCGUUCAAUUAUGUUUCCAAAGCCCCCAUCAAAGUUCACUUUUUUUUUGUUAUAGUUUUAAUAUGUUUUACAUUUAUAUUUGCAUUAUUAAGUUUUAAAUAUUUUAACAGAUUAUUGUUUUAAUAGAUAAGAUAAUGUUAUUUAUUUUAAAAUAAAGAUAUAACUCCAGAUUUAGAAAUAUGAAUGGUUAAACAUUUAUUUGAAAAACAAAAACAAAGCAAAAAUAUUUAUGGUUUGUGUGAAAAAAAAACUCAAAAUGUGGCAACUUGCUGGAUUGUUUUUUGCAUUACUUUUUUCAAUUAUGUUUAUUAAACAAUUAAAAUACUCUUAUAGUAUGGAACUAAAGUACAUUUGCCCUACUAAUAAUCAUCACGUUUGAAGAAAAAAUUGUAUGUGAUAAUCAACUUCUUAUGGUGUUGUAUAAGAAAUUUAAAAGUCUCUUGCAUUAAAAAGAAACAUUGAUCUUUUCUCAAAUCUUGCGAUUAAAAAAUGCAGAACCGUUCAAAACUUUUGUAAGUUUUUUGUCAUAAAAUGAAUCUUUGGAGAGAUUAUAUUCUCAUUUAUUUGGUCGUAAAUAUUUUUCUAACCCAUAUAAAUAAUUUUUUUAAAAAAACUCAAAUGAUUAAAAAUGAAAAAUUCUUUACAGUAGCCUUUGACUAAUAAAAAAAUAUACAUAAAUGUGCAUAUUAAAUAUAUAGUUUACGCUAUAAAUUAGGAUUAAAAGUCCUGUAAACAAUGUAAAAGUUUUAAGUAAUGAAAAUCCGAAUAAUGUAUCUUAGUUCAAAUGAAAUUACAUGUCUCUUUAAAAAAUCAAUUUAAUGAUAAUGGGUCUUCCAAAUCUUGACAACAAAAAUAUCUUGGUAACUGAUCUUUUCUGCAACCAAAUAGGUGAAUAAAAAAGAAAUACCAUUACGAAUCACUUAUUCCGAAAUCUGAAAUUCCAUGUUUAAAAGUUAAGGCCAAGCAGAAAAUAGUUUAGAUAUCAUCAUAUUUGUCCGUGACAAAUAAUAGAGUUUACUCUACCAAAACAGAGUAUCACCUGACUAUAAACUUAAGAAAUGGAAGCGUUGAGCACCAAUAACUGGAUGUCUGAUGUUUGAACUGUCAAUCUCUCAUCAAAGCUGACAAUUUCUUAUUGAGAAUUAUGCAAAUAUUAGAGCCGGUGAAAACCUCAAAAAGCAUACAACUUAUUCAUGAUUAUGUCGUAUAGCAAAAAAAACAAAAUAAAAUAAAAUUACUUACAAAUAAAUUAACUGUACUUAAAUUAAUAAAAUAGCACAUCUUAAUAUAAGGGCGACACGUGUCUCUUCGCUAAAAUAUUGUGUUUCAUAGUUCGACUUUAGUCUUUGAUGAAUUUCUUUCUUGGGCUUCAUUUUCCUUCACAGCCCAACAUAGCCAUCUCUACUUUAAAGACUUCAUCUUCUCCGCUACCUCGACUCCUUGCCAUGGCAUUCCGCGACUCCUCCUGUCAUCUCUGUCGCGGCUCCGGUUGAUCUCCGGUGGUCCAACCGCGAUUGACUCCCUCCAUUGUCGUGAUCAAGCAUCCUUUGCGGCGUGAGCCCACGUUCAUCGUAUCACCACCGUGACCUCCUAAGCUUGCAACCAAAAGCUACGGUAUCUCCUAGCUCCCAAAGUCGUCGAUCUCACCUCCAAUCAUUUAAGCCUUACACAAUCAGACUUUUGUCGUACUUAAGAUAUCACAGAGGAGGCAAAGUCUAAUCUGUUCUUCCGCCGUUUCUCGGAUUUUGGGAACGUCAAUGUUAUCUAUGCUUUGGAUGUUUCCAGAAACCACCUAUUUUCUUAGACCUAAGAUGUAACCUAUCCCCCACUUUCCUGCAAUUAGGUAACUGUUAUUAAUGUAUCAUUCAAUCAAACCAGUCCAGUACUCUCAACGAUCCGUCUUCCCUGCAUUCGUCACCCAUUUCAUUCAGUAUAUAUAUGAACCUGAACCGAGACCUCCUCAUAACUCAGUGUUUAUUUAUGUGAGAUGAUUUAGAUUUCGAUUUUGUUUCAGUUUGUUCUUUUAUUGAUUAUCAAGAUUUUAAUUUGAAAACUUUUUUUUGUGGGAGAUAGAUUCUGAUUUUGUUUGUUGAUUUUAUUUCAGUUUAUUCAUGUAUUGAUCAUCAACAACAAAGAGCUUUCUCCUGCUGCUUGGAUAAGAACAUGGUUUUAAACAGUAUACAAAGCUCUAAUGUAGGCGAGUCCCAGGGAAUACUAUCAGGAAGUGAUCCAAAACUUUCACAAACAAGAAGAGAAGGCUUGCCAUUUGCACCUGAAGCACAAGAGCUUGCGGAUACUGGGUCAUGCCCUGGGAUAUUACUAUUACAUGAAAACACAGUAGCGGAGCUCUUGCAGCAGAGGAUAUCAUCUUCAGAGGAGACUGAUGGUAGCUUUUCAUGUCAUUUAGACUUUACUUUGUCUUCUGCUCCAUUACCAGACAAGCCAGCUUCGCAGAUGGCUAAGACAAUAGUACAAUGUCAAUAGAGCAAGGUGGAGAGUGACACUGGGUCAGCGGUGGAUAGUAACAGAGCAAUCGUCAUUGAGCUGAUGGAGCAAGUGACGGAGAGAGUGAUCUGGACAGCCAUGGAACAAGCGUACGGAGAGUGUGACGAGAGAUAGCAAAGGCAAUUGCUGAAGUUCAAGCUGUCACAGGGGAAGUCAAUAACAAUGACAGGAGGGUUCAUGCUUACAAAGUUUCUGUCAAUGGAGGAAUGAAAGCUGCGGUGGAGGAGGCUGACAUGACUGCAUAGCUUUUCAUGAGGCUGUUGCUCAGUUUUGACUGCAUAGCUUUUCAUGAGGCUCUUGCUCAGUCACAUGCAGAUCUUUCUUUUGGUUAAUUUAUACGAAUCUGCAAUUUUCUUAUAAGAUGAUUUUGUUUUGUAUAAGGAGCUGUUGGUUUAAAACCCCACCACAAAAAGCAGAAGAAAAUUUUUGGUUGAAGAAUGGCAAAUUAUGUUUGUUUGUAAUUAUUUUCUUUUGAAUUCAUUUUUCUUCUUUUUCAUGUUUUAACAUUUUAAUUGUACCAUCGAUGGAAAGAAGUAUAAAAAUACAUUAACAAAAUAUUUUAGUUUAUUUUUUUACAGAGAUAAAUUUAAUAUUAAUUAUCUAUAAACAGUAAUAUUAAUUUAAAUUGAUAAUAUAAAUGAAACAAUUAUUAGGCUCGCUUUUAAAAUUAAUUUAUCUAAAUUUAAUUUAAUUUAUUAUAAAUGAUAUAUAUAUCUAAAACACAUUGUUUUAACUGAUUAUAAUAAUAACAUCAUUUUUAAAAAUAUAUAUAAAUAGUAACAUCAAUUAAUGAAGAAAGAAUAAAAAGACUCAAUGAAUAACAAGGACAAUUCUCUAAAAUAGAUUCAUUUUAAGUUUGUUGUCACAAAAGAGUUCCAAAAAAAGAAAAUAACCAAAUUAAAUUUUAUCAAAUAACAAAAAAAAUUAUACUAUAAAUAUAUAAAUACAAAUAAAUAAAUAAAAAGAUAUAAAAUAAAAUAAAAUUUAUAGUUUCGAAUUAUAUGUUUCAAUUUUGAACUUUUUAUUAAAAAAAUUCCAAAUAUUAUUUUAUAUU